rnacentral:lncRNA from 1 species
CGGGUGAAAGGCAGGAGCGCCAGGCUGCAACAAAGAUAGCUGAAAAUGUAAAGCAGGUUCAGAAGUGGGUAACAGCCAGAAGUUGGAGAGUUUGGAGAGCUUGAAAAAAGACAGGAAGAUGAGGGAAAGUUGGGACCAUUGUAGAGACUUGUUAAAUAGUUUUGAUUAAAAUGCUGACAGAAGGAAGGCCAGGGAAGGCCAGGCUUACAAGGUCUCAGAUGAAAAUGAGGAACUUAACUGGGAACAGGAGCCAUGGUUAGUUUUGUUUUGCUGUAGCAAAGAAUGUGGCUGCACAUUGACCCUGCCCUGGAGAUAUGUGAAACUUUGAACUUGAGGGUGAUGACUUAGUGAGUAUCUGGUGGAAUGAACUUCUGGGCAGCAAAGCUCAAGAGGUGUCCUGUCUGCAUGAAACAGCCCUUGCCCUUUUGUGUGACUGAGGAAAUGACCUCUGGAUGGGUCUUACAUUAAAUGAGUCACAACUCUUAUAUUAAAUGAGAAACAGAACUCAAAAGUCUGGAAAACUUGCAGCCUUGCCAAGUGGUCAGAAAGAAAAGCCGAUUUUCAGUGGGAAAAUUCAAGAAGGCUUCAGGAAUUUGCACGAAAAGGAGCCCGGUGCUAAUAGCCAAGACAAUAAGGAAAAGACCUUGAAGGCAUUUCAGAGACCUUUGCAGCAGCCCUUGCUGUCACAGGCCCUGGGGCCUAGGAGAGAAGCAUCGUUUCCUGGGCCAGUUCCAUGAGCCCCCUCUAUGUGCAGCCUCAGGACACUGCUGCCGGCAUCCCUGCAGCUCCAUUUCCAACUCCAGUCAUGGCUGAAAGAUGCACAGGUAGAGUUUGCAUCCCUGCUUCAGGGGUGCAAGUUCCAAGCCUUGGUGUCUUCCACAUAGUGUUAAGCCAGCGGCUGCACAGAGCACAAAACUAGAGGCUUGGGGGCCUGUGUCUAGACUCCAGAGUAUGUACGGAAAAACCUGGGUGUUCAGGCAGAAGCUUUUCCAAGAGGCAGAGCCUCAUGGCACACCUUUACCAGGGCAGUACAGAAGGAGAAAAUGGGGUUGGAGUCCCUAAAUAUGGAGACACCAUUCUCCAGACCUUAGAUUCAUAGAUGCACCAACAGCUGGCACCCUUAGUGUGGAAAAGCCACAGGCACUCAACACAGCCCAGCCCAUGAGGGCAGCUGUGGGGGAUAUAUCAUGCAAAUCCACAGGUGCAGAGUUGCCCAAGGCCUUGGGAGCCCAGCCAUCACAUGCCUGUGCUCUAGAUGUGAGAUGUAGAUUCAGAAAAGAUGAUUUGGAGCUGCAGGAUUCAAUGACUGGCCUGCUGGGUUUUUGACUUCAUGGGGUCUGUAAGUCCUUGGACUUUUCAGUAAAUGCUGGAAUGAGUUAAGUCAUUGGGGGACAGUAGAGAAGUCAUCAUUGUAUUUUGCAGUGUGACAAGGAUACAAGAUUUGGGGACCAAAGGCCAGAAUAAUAUGAUUUGGUUCUGUGUCCCUACCAAUACUCAUGUGGAAUCGUAAUGGGGAAUGUUAAAGUUGGAGCCUGGUGGAAGGUGACUUAAUCAUGGAGAAGAGUGGGGGUUGGAAGUAGGGGUUUGGGGAGAAUGGGGGAGAUUAUUUUGUGGGUGGGGGUGAAAGAUGAGGAUAGGGGGGUGGAUUCUUCACAAAUGGUUAAUCACUAUCUCCUUAAUGCUGUCUGCAUGAUAGUGAGUUCUCUUGAUGAUUAUGGAGCUUAAAGAUUGAGUGAAUACUGUCCUGCUGGGUUUUGGACUUGCAUUAGGCCUGUGGUCCCAUUUGUGUUAUUUUUAUGGGAAAUUUCUUCCCUUUGGAUUGAGAAAGCUUACACAAUGCCUGUACCAUCAUUGUACCUUGAAAGAAAAGAAAUCCCUUUUAAAUUCAGGGACUCAUAUGCAGAAGGGACAGUAGCCUUGUCUCAGGUGAGACUUUGAACUUUUUACAUUUGGAAUGAGUUAAGGCUGUUGGAACUUUUGAAAAGGCAUGAUUGUAUUUUACUCUGUGAUAAGGACAUGAGAUUCUGGGAUAGCAGGGUCAGAAUAAUAUGGUUUGGCUGUGUGUCCCUAUGAAAAUUCAUGUGGAAUUUUAAUUCCAAAUGUUGAAGUUGGGGCCUGGGGGAGAUGAUUUAAUCAUGGACUGGAAGGGGUUGGGGUGGAAGGAAAAGGGUUGGUUAGGGUGGGGAGGAGUAGGCUGGCAGUAGGGUGGUGGGAGGGUGGUGGGUGGGAGGAAGGGGGAGCAGCCUGCUGCAGAGGCAGAGGCUCAUGGGAAACCCUCUACUAGGGCAAUGCACCUGUGGCUUUGCAGGGUUUAGCCCCUGCCGCAGCUCUCAUGGGCUGGGCUGGUGUUGAGUGCCUGUAGCUUUUCCACACAAGGUGUGAGCUGUUGGUGGGUCUAUGAAUCUGGGGUCUGGAGGUUGGUGGCCAUCUGUGUGGGUGCUCCAAGCUCAUAUUUCCCUUCCGCACUUCCCUAGUAGAGUUUUCCAAGAGGCUCUGCCUCUGCCUCAGGCUUCUGCCUGGAAAUAGUGGGAGUUGGGGGUAGGGGGCGAAUCCUUCACCAGUGGUUAAGCACCAUCUUUGUGAUGCUGACCUUGUGAUAGUGAGUUCUCAUGAGAUCUGGUUGUAUAAUAGGGUGUGGGACCUCUCUCCUCUCCCUGUCUUGCUCCUCCUCCUGCCACAUGAAUCAUCUCAUUGCCCCUUGACAUUCUGGUAUGACUGGGAGGCUUCCUGAUUCCUCUUAGAUGUAGAAGCCACUAUACUUCCUUAUAGCCUGCAGAAUCAUGAGCCAAGUAAACCUCUUCUUUAUGAUCAUAGAGAAAAUUAGUACUGCAAAGUGGGUCUAUUAAAUGUCUUCAAGGCCUUUUCCCUAUUGUCUUGGUAGUGAGCACUCAGCUUCUUUUCAUUCAAGUCUCUGAACCCUUCUUGAAUUUUCCCCCUGAAAAUGGACUUGUCUUCCCUUACUACAUUGUCAGGCUGCAGCAAAGAUAGCUGAUAAUGUAGAAGCAGGUUCAGAAGGGGGUAGCAGACAGAGUUCAGAGAGUUUGGAGGGCUUUGCAGACAAGAAGUUGAGGGAAAGUUUGGAUCUUUGUAAAGAAUUGUUACAUACUUGUGACCAGAAGGCUCACAGGAAAAUGGUGAGUGAAAGCCAGACUUAGAAGGUCUCAAAUGAAAAUGAGGAACUUACUGGGAACAGAAGCCAAAGUGACUUUUGUUUUGCCUUAACAAAGAAUGUGGCUGCACGGUGACCCUGCCCUGGAGAUCUGUGAAACUGAACUUGAGGGUGAUGACUUACUGAGUAUCUGGUGGAAUGAACUGGGCAGCAAAUCUCAAGAGGUGUCCUGUCCCCAUGGAACAGCCUGUGCUCUUAUGUGUGAUGGAGGAAAUAACCUCUGGAUGGGACUUACAUUAAAUGAGUCCCGUCUCUCAGAACUCAAAUUUAGGAAAAUUUGGAGCCUGGCCAAGUGGUCAAAAAGAAAAGCUGAUUUUCAGGGGGAAAAUUGAGGAAGGCUUCAGAAACUUGCAUGAAAAGGAGCCCGGUGCUAAUAGACAAGAUAAUAGGGAAAAAGGCCUUGAAGGCAUUUCAGAGACCUUUGCAGCAGCCCUUGCUAUUGUGGGCCCUGGGGCCUAGGAGAGAAGCAUGGUUUCCUUGGCCAGUUCCAUGAGCCUCUUCUAUGUGCAGCCUCAGAACACUGCUGCCUGCAUCCCUGCAGCUCAAGCUCCAGCCAUGGCUGAAAGAUGCACAGGUACAGCUCAGGUCACUGCUUCAGAGGAUGCAGGCUAGAAACCUUGGUAACAUCCUCAUAGUGUUAAGCCACUGGUGGACGGAGUGUGAGACUAGAGGCUUGGGAGCAUCUCUAUAGAUUUUGGAAGAUGUAUGGAAAUUCCUGGGUGUCCAGGCAAAACAUCCCAAAAAGGCAGAGCCUUAUAUCAAACUUCUACUAGGGCAGUGCAGAAGGAAAAUAUGGGGUUGGAACUCCCACACUGGAGACCACCAUCAUGCAGACCCCAGAUUCAUAGACCCCCCCCCCAAAACUUGUUUCCUCAAUGUGGAAAAGUCACAGGCACUCAUCACCAGCCCAGCCCAUGAGGGCACCCUUGGGGCAUAUACCCUGCAAAGCCACAGGUGCCAAGCUGCCCGAGGCCUUGGGAGCCCAGCCCUCACACCCCUGUGUCCUGGAUGUGGGACAGGGUUUCAAAAAGGGUGAUUUUGGAGCUGUAGGAUUGAAUGACUGGCCUUCUGGGUUUGGAGUUUCAUGGGGCCAGUAAGUCCUAUCUGUGUUUUGUUUUUUUUUCUGGCAAAAUUCUUCCUUUUGGCUGGGAAUGCUUACCCAAUGCCUGUACAAGCAUUGUACCUUGGAAGUAGUUAACUUGCUUUAUAUUUCAGAGGCUCAUGGGCCUAAGGGACUGUAGCCUUGUGUCAGAUGAGACUUUAGGCUUUGGACAUUUGUAUAAAUGCUGGAAUGAUAUAAGAUUUUAUGGGACUUUAGGGAAGGCAUCAUUGUAUUUUGCAAUGUGAGAAGGACAUGAGAUUUGGGGAGUGAGGGAAAGAAUAAUAAAAUUCAGCUCUGUGUCCCUACCAAAACUCAUGUGGAAUUGUAAUUGGAAUGUUAAAGGUGGGGCCUGGUGGAAGAUGAUUUAAUCACGGUGCAGAGUGGGGGUUGGAAGAUGGGGGUGUAGGGAAAAUGGGGGAAUUAUGGUGGGGGUGAGGGGUGAAAAUUGGGGUGGGGGGUCAGAUCCUUCACAAAUCAUUAAACACUAUCUCCUUAUUGCUGUCCUUGUGACGGUGAGUUCUUUUCAUGAUUUUAGAACUGUAAGAUUAAAUGGAUACUGGCCUCCUGGGUUUUGGACUUGCAUUGGGCCUGUGGUCCCAUUUGUGUUAUUUUCCUGGGAAAUUUCUGCCCUUUGGAUUGAAAAAGCUUACCCAAUGCCUGUACCAUUAUUGUACCUUGAAAGAAAGAACAUUCUUUUAAAUUCAGGGACUCAUAGGCAAAAGGUACUGUAGACUUGUCUCAGAUGAGAUGUUGAAUUUUUUACAUUUGAGUUAUUGUUGGAAUGAGUUAAGACUUUUGGAAAAUUUUGAAAAGACAUGAAUAUAUUUUGCUCUGUGAGAAGGACAAGAGACUGCAGGGUAUCAGGUCAGAAUAAUAUGAUUUGGCUGUGUUUCUUUACCAAAACUCAUGUGAAUUGUAAUCCUUAAUGUUGGAGGUGGGACCUGGCUGGAGGUGAUUUAAUCAUGGAUGGGAGGGGGACCGGGGAUGGAAGGAAAGGGGUGGGUAGGGUGAGGAGUAGGUUGUUAGUAGGGUGGUGGGUACUAGGAGGGGGGAGUAACCUGCUUCAGAAGCAGAGGCUCAUGGAAAGUCUCUACUAGGGCAGGGCACCUGUGGCUUUGCAGGGUGUAGCCCCCAUGGCUGCUGUCAUGGGCUGGGCUCGUGUGGAGUGCCUGUAGCUUUUCUGUUCUGAGAGUGCAAGCUGUUGGUGGGUCUAUGAAUCUGCAGUCUGGAGGAUGGUGGCCUCCUGUAUGUGGGCUCCAAGCCUACAUUUUCCUUCUGCACUGCCCUGGUAGAGGUUCUCCAAGAGGCUCUGCCUCUGCAGGAGGCUUCUACGUGGAAACAGUGGGGGGUGGUGUGGGUGGAUCCUUCACCAAUGGUUAAUCUUCUUGAUGCUGAUCUCCUGAUACUGAGUUCUCAUGAGAUCUGGUUGUAUAACAAGUGUGGCACCUCUUUCCUCUCUCUGUCUUCCUCCUACACCUGCCAUAUGGAACAUCUCAUUGUCGCUUGGCCUUCUGGUAUGGUAGGAGACUUCCUGAGUCCUCCCAGAAGCAGAAGCCACUAUGUUCCCUUUACAGCCUGCAGAACUGUGAGCCAAUUAAACCUCUUUUUAAAAUAAUACUACAGAAAAUUUGUACUGUAGAGUGGAGCUAUGAAAUGCCCUCAAGGUUUUUUUCCUGAUUUUUUACUAUUAACAUUUGGCUUCUUUUAUAUGCAAAUAUCUGAAGCCUUCUUGAAUUUUCCCCCUGAAAAUGGACUUUUUUUCUUUUACCACACUGCCAGGCUGUCACAACGAUAGCUGAAAGUGUAGAAGCAAGUUCAGAAGCAGGUUCAGAAGCUGGGUAACGACCGCAGGCUGCACAGUUUGGAGGGCUUGGAAGAAGACAGAAAGAUGAAUGAAAGUUUUGACUAUUGUAGAGACGUGUUAAAUAGUUAUAAUUAAAAGGGUGACUGAAGGAUGGAUAGUGAAGGCCAGGCUUAGAAGGUCUCAGAUGAAAAUGAACAACUUACUGGGAGCAGAAGCCAAGGUAACUUUUCUUUUGCCUUAGCAAAGAACUUGGCUGGAUGGUGCCCCUGCCCUGGUGACCUGUGAAACUUUGAACUUGAGGGUGAUGAUUUAGGGUAUAUCUGGUGAAAUGAACUUCUAGGCAGCAAAGCUCAAGAGGUAUCUUGUCUGUAUUGAACAGCCUGUGGUGUUCUGUGUGACCAAAUAAAUGACCUCAAGUUGAAACUUAUAUUUAAAUGAGAAGCAGAGCUUUGAAGUUUGAUUUACAGCCUGCCCAAGAGGUCAAAAAGAAAAGCUGAUUUUUAGUGGGAAAAUUCAAGAAGGCUUCAGAAAUGUGCAUAAAAUGGAGCCCAGUGCUAAUAGCUAAGACAAUGUUAAAAAGGCCUUGAAGGCAUUUCAGAGACCUUUGCAGCAGAGCUUGCUGUCAAAGGCCCUGAGUUCUAGGACCAAAGAAUGGUUUCCUGGGUCAGUCCCAUGGUCGCGCUGCUGUGUCCAUCCUCAGGACAGUGCCGCCUGCAUCCCUGCAGCUCCAGCUCCAGCUCCAGCCAUGGCUGAAAGAUGCACAGGUACAGCUUGGGUCACUGCUUCAGAGGGUGCAAGCUGCAAGCCUUGGUGGCUUCCACAUAGUGUUAAGCCAGCAGGUGCACAGGCUUGGGAGCCUUUGUCUAGACUCAAGAGUAUGUAAGGAAAAACCUCAGUGUCCAGCUGGGCAGAAGCUUUUCCAAGAGGCAGAGCCUCAUGGGAAACCUUUACUAGGGCAGUGCAGAAGGAACAUACAGGGUUGAUGCCCCCAUACAGGGAGGAACCAUUUUCCAGACCCCAGAUUCAUAGACCCACCAACUGCUUGCACCCUCAGUGUGGGAAAGCCACAGGCACUGACCACCAGCCCAGCCCACGAGGGCAGCUGUGGGGAAAGACCCUGCACAGCCACAGAAGCUGAGCUGCCCAAGGCCUUGGGAGCCCCGCCAUCCACUCUUGUGCUCUAGAUGUGGGAUGUAGAUCCUUUCAGGAAAGAUGAUUUGGAGCUGUAGGAUGGAAUGACUUUCCUGCUGGGUUUUUGACUUGCAUGGGGUCUGCAAGUCCCAUCUGUGUUUUGUGCUUCCCUCUGACAAAUUUCUUCCUUUUGGCUGGGAAUGCUUACCCAAUGUCUCUACAAUCAUUGUACCUUGGAAGUAGUUAACUUGCUUUGUAUUUCAGAGGCUCGAGUAGAAGGGAUGGCAGCGUUGUCUCAGAUGAGACUGGGCUUUGGACAUUUCAGUAAAUGCUGGAAUGAGUUAAGACUUUGGGGGACUGUAGAGAAGGCAUCAUUGUAUUUUGCAGUGUGACAACGAUAUGAGAUGUGGGGGGACCUGGGUGAGAAUAAUAUGAUUUGGCCCUGUGUCACUACCAAUACUCUCGUGAAAUUGUAAUGGGGAAUGUUAAAGGUGGGGCCUGGUGGGAGAUGAUUUAAUCAUGGAGAAGAGUGGGGGUUGGAGGUGGGGGAGUGGGGAGAAUAGGAGAGAUUAUUUUGUGGGUGGGGGUGAAAAAUGAGGGGGGACGGAUUCUUCACAACUGGUGAAACACUAUCUCCUUAAUACUGUCUGCGUGAUAGUGAGUUCUCUUGAUGAUUAUGGAGCUUAAAGAUUGAGUGAAUAUUGUCCUGCUGGGGUUUGGACUGACAUUUUUGUCAUUUUUCUGGGGAAUUUCUUCCCUUUGGAUUGAGAAACCUUACUUAAUGCUUGUACUAUCAUUGUAUCUUGAAAGAAAAGAAAUGCCUUUUGAACUCAGGGACUGAUAGGCCGAAGGGACUGUAGCCUUGUCUCAGAUGAGACUUUGAAUUUUUUAUAUUUGGAAUGAGUUAAGAAUUUUGGAAACUUUUGAACAUGCAUGACUGUGUUUUGCUGUGUGAGAAGGACAUGAGGUUCUGGGGUAUCUGGGUCAAAUAAUAUGGAUUGACUGUGUGUCCAUAUAAAACUCAUAUGGAAUUGUAAUCCUUAAUUUUGGGGCCUGGUGGUAGGCGAUUUAAUCUUGAAUGGGAGGGGGUUCGGGGUGGUAGGAAAAGGAGGGGUAGGGUGGGGAGGAGUAGGUUGUCAGUAGGGUGGUAGGAGGAUGGGGGGUAGUAGGAAGGGGGAGUAGCCUUCUGCAGAGGCAGAGGCUCAUGGAAAACCUCUACUAGGGCAGUGCACCUGUGGCUUUGCAGGCUUUAGCCCCAUGGCUGCUCUCAUGGGCUGGGCUGGUGUUGAGUGCCUGUAGCUUUUCCAUACUGAGGGUGUGAGCUGUUGGUGGGCCUAUGAAUCCGGGAUCUGGAGGAUGGUGGCCUCCUUUUUGGGGGCUCCAAGCCCAUAUUUUCCUUCUGCACUGCCAUAGUGGAAGUUUCUCAAGAGGCUUGGCCUCUGCAGGAGGCUUCUGCCUGGAAACAGUGGGCGGUGGUGUGGGUGCAGGAUCUUCUUGAUGCUGAUCUCCUGAUAGUGAGACCUCAUGUGAUCUGGUUGUCUAACAGGGUGUGGUACCUCUUUCCUCUCUCUGUCUUGCUCCUACCCCUGCCAUAUGAAACAUCUCAUUGCCACUUGGCCUUCUGGUAUGAUUAGGAAGGGCCUGGUCAGUGUGGGCCUGGUCAGUGAACUAGUCAGUUGGGACUUGGUCAGUGAGGCCUAUUUACUGGGGGAAUGGUCAGCCAGGGUCUGCUUAGAGAGGGUCUCAUUAGAGGGAUCGAGUAGUGCAGGUCUUGGUGAGUGGGGACCUAGUGGCAGACAAAUGUUUGGUGUCUGGUCAGUGCAAACCUGGGCUGCAGGGCUUGGUGAGUGGAGACCUGGUCAGCUGUGGCUUAGUGGUAGCCUUGUCAGAAUGGGCUGGGUCACUGGUGACCCGGUCAAGGGGUGCUAUUCAGUGGAGGCCUGGUCACAUGGCACCUAGUCAGCAGGGCAUGUCCUCAUCAGUGAGACCCUUGUCAGUGGGACCCUGGUCAUGGCAGCCUGGUCAGGUCAGUGGAACCUAAUCAGUGGGGGCCUGGUCAGAGAGGACUUGAUCAGUGGUGGCUUUUGUAGCACUGGUCUAUGGGGUGACCUGGUCAACGGGGGUCUGAGCGGUACAUGCCUGUUCAGUGGUGCCUAGUCACUAGGUUCCUGGUCGGGGCAUCUGGUCACCGCAGGCCUGGUUAGUAGGGACCUGGUCACUGGCAGCCUGUUCCCUGGAGACCUGGUCAGUGGGGCUUCAUCUGUGGGGCCAGGCAAUGGGGUCAUGAUUGGUGGAAUGUGGUCAGGGAGGCCUUGUCAGUGAGGCCCUGGUCAGUGAGGCCUUGUCAGUGAGGUCCUUGUCAGUGGGGUCCUGGACACUGUGGGCCUGGCAGCGGGAAUCUAGUUAGUGGGGCCUGGUGAUGGGGGCCUAAUCAGUGAGAGUGUGGUCAGGGAGGACCUGAUGUGCGGGAUCUGGUCAGCAGGGACCUGGUCAGUGGGGCUGCUGAGCACUGCUGGGAGGUGUCAGGGGAAAUGCAUGUUAUCAGGGGCCCUAUGGACAGCUGGGAUGGCCCAGUGGUGUCCAAUGGCCCAGUCAAAAGUGGACAAAGCAGGUGUUUGGAUGGACCUGGGAGAUCUUGCUCAGAGAUUCUGAAAGAACAAAGGUAAAGGAAGGGCCAGAGUGGCUAGAGAGAUGGUAACAGUCUAUGGGCUGCACAGGAUGGAGGAAGCCAGGGAACAGGCAGGGUGGGCAGUAGGGGUGCAGGGAGAGGCAGGUGCAUGCUGGGAGGUCGGACCCUGUGAGGGCUGUGGGGGCGUCAGGUGGGGUGGGCUCCAGGUGCACUCUCAGUGUGCACUGGGCAGGUCUCGGUCCAGGCUCUCUGGACCCUGGUCGGGUGAUGUGGUCACUCCCUGGGGGACUGCUGUCAGGCCUAGCCACCCACCCUUGGCAGCACUGUCCCAUCUCAGGACUGGACUUUCUCAGAUCCUGCAGAGGGCACAGCCUCCAGCCCAGGAGGGGCAGCCCCUUGGUGCAGCCUAAGCUCUCCAUGGGCCUGGAGCAUCCCUGCCAGCCCUGCGCUCCCUCUACUCCCAGGUCCCGCUUUUCAAGUGUCAGCCAGCAGAGAGGCUCCGUCCUCCCUUCCCUAUGUGUCUCCUGGGCUAAAACUUGGGGCGCAUUGGGACAGGGAUGGUGCUUUCCUCAGGCCCAUUUAGGGAGGGGACUGGCUCCCAGCCUGGCACAGGUCCUCAGCUCUGCCUUGGUUGCCUUAGAGUGACAUGGAUCAGUCAGUGCCCUGAAGGUAAAUGGAAGAGACUGUCCCUGCUGUGUGGGAGGCUGGUCUAGGGAUGGAGGACUUGGCAGGUCCUCCCAGUCUGUCAGGCCUGGACAGCACUGUCCUGUCUCAGGACUCAGAAAAUCCGGUCUUGGGAUGGGACGGUGCUGCCCAGGGUGGGUGGCCAGGGCUUGACAGCAGUCCCCCAGGGAGUGACCACAUCAGCCAACCAGGGUCCAGGGAGCCUGGCCUGAGACCCACCCAGUGCAUUGAGGGUGCACCUGGAGCCCACCCCACCUGAUGCCCCCACAGCCCUCGCAGGGCCUGACCUCCCAGCAUGCACCUGCCUCUCCCUGCACCCCAGAUGUCCACCCUGCCUUUUCCCUGAUUUCCUCCAUCCUGUCCAGCAGGAUGGGCUGGUCAGUGGGAUAGCCUCUGUGCACAUUUUGUGGCAAGUAGGAGUGACACAUCAUUCCUGGGAGGCCCCGUGGUUCCUGCCAAACCCAACCCCAGAAUUCUCCCUGAGGUGGUUUUACCAAACCCAUAACCCAGAACUGCUAUUGUGGUUUGGGGGUCAGCACCCACCAGUGCCAGGGCACUACUGGGAGGCUGGGACCUGACCAAAGCCCAUGGUGUCUGUGGCCUGAGGACAGGGUGUCUUGGGGCCAUGAGGACAGGCCACCAAUGGCCGUUGGGUCAUAGGGCCUGAGCCCCAGUGUUUGUCCUUCCCUGGCUCCUUCUGGUUCAGUCCCAUCAGGGCUCUGGAUCCCAAGACGCAGCAUCCAAGGUUCCCUCCAGGAAUCCUGGUGGCUCGGCUUACUUUGUCAUGUUUCAUCUGAUAGCAAAAAUAUCAGAUCGGCUGCACAGAAAAAUGGCUCAAAGUGCUUAAUGACCAGAAGAAAUCUGGGAGUAGCAAGAAGGUAAUGUGGAGAGGGGAGGACCUCCAUGACUGGUGUCUGCAGAGCCAGGGGUACAGGGACCCAGUGCAGUGACCUGGCACCACCUGCCUCUCAGAGGGUGGGUAGCACACUGUCCUUACCUGGGGGACAGCAGGCCUGGUCACCGGCUUUUCUCCCUGUCCCUGCAAGCAUCACAUUGCUGGAAGAGAAUCUCAUGCCAGAGCUUGGACCAUCCCUAGCUUGGGGGUUAGGGGUUGUCUCUUGGUGACCUAAAUGAAAAAAUAGGUCCAGAUCAGAGUUCGUGAUGCAUAGCACUCACCCACUCUUUGAAUCAUGGGAGGGGAGGCCUAGUCCUAGGUAAACCUAAACUCUUUGAGGAACCACAGAGCCCAAGGCUGGAAACCUCCAGAAUCCUCCAGCCCCUGAUCCCCCCCCCCCCCGGGGACCUCUGUGGCCUGUCUCACCAGAGCACUCUUCUGUCUGUAGAGGUCUCAGGUGCUCUACAAGGGAGUCCCAUUUCAGGUGUGGGGCUGGGUAUGGUCACUCCUGCUGGAUGUCUAGAAGGUGAAAACCAAGGACCUAGGAAAAUACCAGAUACAGCCUUUCCACCGUCAUCCAGAGCAGGACAAACACGCCAGGUGGUGUCAGGAGCCCAGGUCUCCAGCUGGAGGGAAUGUCAACCCUGCAGUGGGAGCCCAUCAUGCAUCCUAGGCACAGAUGCUAACGUAGGCACCGCAGAAGCACUGCUGACUGUUUGGUGGUUGCUGUUAGGGCAGUGAGCCUUUUGUCCAUUCUGAGAUUAGGCUGGUUUCUCCUCUUGGCCCUGGCCUACAGACCAUAAAGGAAAACAGCAAGAGGUCCCCAGCAAACAUCUACAGAUGGCCCUGGACAUCAGCCACAUUCAGAGAAACGUGUCAUGUUCUGGGAGGGCUAAGGCAUCGAGUAAGGCCUAUGGGGCUGGAGGAUCACAGGGCAGGUGGGGCAAUCCAGAGCUGUGGGGGCUUCCAUGGGAAUUGGGAGGUCCCAAGGCAGAGGUAGGGGUUCCACAGGAGGAGUCACAGAGCCACCAAGGGCUCUCCUGGCCCAGGGAGCAGUCAACACCAUGGACUGAACACCCACUGGGCUAAGCCCUGGGCCAGGCUGGGGCAUGUGGGGCCAGGAGGCAGCUCAGAGUGGGAGACAGAGAGACAAGUGUGCUCAGAGGGCACCCAUAUCUGCAUAUAACGUGGUCCUGAAUUUCUGGCUGGGAAGUGCUUCCAGGGUUUCAUAUGUGUUAUGGAGAUGCUUCCUCUCUCCAACCUCACCGUGCAGGAAUCCCAGUGAAUAUAUUGCCACCAUCUUGGAGCUCAGUGCCCUCAUAGUGUAACAGCACCAGCAGAUCUGCCUGUGCACAGACUUCCUGUACUACCUCACUCCUGAGGGGAGAUGCUUCUGCAGGGCCUGCGACCUGGUGCACAACUUUAGACACCAUCAUCCUGGAGCGGCACUGCACCCUCACUAGCCAGGGUGUUGAUGACUUCCUCAAUGCCAAGGCCACGUUCAAGAUUUUCGACUUCAGUGAUGCGUUUGUGCUGAGCAAGGAUAUGACAGCACAGCCAGUGGCCUCUACUGGAUCCUGGUACCCCUCAGAAGACACCCAGACACUGGGAGUGCUGCCACCUCGUGGUGCAAGAGUUCUGAGGGACGGCAAUUCUGAAGACAUUGAAUGGUGGGUGCUGGGCCUCAUGGCUGUUCCCCAGCCCCUCUCAUUGGCUCUGCUCCAGGUGGAGAAGGGGGAUGAUGUCUCUGUCAGUUCUGCUGUUUUAGCCUAGAAGGAAAAGAAGCAGAGCCCAGAAGCAGGGCCUGGUACCCAGCCUGCCUAACAAGGGAGAAUUUGUAGGCUUUGUGGACAGAAAGAUCUGGGACUCCAUGUCACCCACUAACUUGCUGAGACAUUAGUAAAAUCAGUUUUCUUUUCUGAACUAUGUUUCUGUCAUCUGUACAUUGAGAGGAAUUUCUUUUACUCCACGAGGCUGCUUGGAGAAUUAGUGACAGUGUGUGUAGAGCAUGUGCCACCCAGCAGGCAUUUGGUGUCGAGACCACACCUCCUCCCCCUUCAUUUUCAGCCUAAAUUUGCAUUUUGUUCUUAAGACUUUCACUCGCCUUAAUUUUACUCUUUCCUCUGAUUCCCACCUUAUCGUCUAUCCCAUGGAGUCACUAGGAUCUAAGUGGGUAACAGUCAUGUAUGCAUGUAUGUGUAUGUACGUAUAUACUUUGUUGGUGUUGGAGUGUGGUGUGUGAAUGUGUGUGUGUGUGUGUGUUGGAGUUACUGGGUGACUGAAACUGUACACAUCAGGCUGUGGUUCUGCCCAUUGCUGGAAGCGCUGUCAGGGGUCCUGCCCUCAACCCCAGGUCUGACCCUUGCAGCGCAGGCAGGACAUUCUGGAGGAAUCAUGCCCUUGGGAGGAUCCCUGAGGAGUGACUGGUGGGUAUUGGUGGAUAAAUACCCCUGGUCCCUUGCUCUGGGUAUGAUGACUCUGAAGCACAUGUUCUGUGCUGUCUCUCAGAGGUACCUGGCAGGGCUGAGUCCUGGCUGCCACAGUGGAAACUUUCUUGAUGAAGGUCCCUUUAACUGCUGCAUUCCUUUCCUGUCUCAGUUCCCCACUCCUCCACUGAUGUUUCCUGGGAUUAGCACCCUAAGGAAGAACUGGCAGUCGAAUUAAUAUCCUAGCGUUAUCUCCAAACAAAAUUUUUGUAUUUGAAUCUUUGCCUCAGGAUCUACUUCCAGGAAAUUCAGACUAAGACACACAUUUUUCUUUUGGCUCCUUGAAUCCCCAUAGGCCUGACAUUUUGCUGUUUUUAUCAAAAAGGAACAUGAGGAUCAGAGAGGGAAAGUCACUUGCCCAAAGUCACCCAGCUGAACAGUGGUAGAGUUCAACUUUGAUCAUGAGAUGUCUGGCCCCCAGGUGGAGGCUUGCUCCUCUCCCAUGAGACUCCUUCCUUAUCAGGGUCAAAUGAAUGAAUGGAGGAUGUUAAAAGUGGGGUCUCUGAUGCCUUUGCCAGAUAAACCCCAGGCUCAUGGCUGGCGCCUGUUUUCUCAUUCUUACCUCAUUAAGAGUAGUAAUGAAAAACAUGCUCAGUGCUGACCGUGUGCCUGGGGGUGUUGUAGGCACUCCACUUACUUUAAUUCAUUUAAUUUUCACAAUAACCUUGUUUUUACUUCUAGUUGUUAUAUGAAAAAACUGAGGCAAAGAGCAAUACAGAGAGUUGCAAAAAUUCAUACCGCUGGUCCAGGUUUGAACCAAACAGUCUGCACCUGGAGUCCUUGUUUGUAACCAUGGCACCCUGUCUUCACACAUAUCUCAUCGUGGAGUUCCAUCUUGUGUUAGGCAUGGCACUGAGCAGCUUCUUUUAAGAACAUAAUUUGUAGCCAGGCGCAGUGGCUUAUGCCUGUAAUCCCAGCACUUUGGGAGGCCGAGGCGGGCAGAUCACGAGGUCAGGAGAUCCAGACCAUCCUGGCUAACUUGGUGAAACCCCGUCUCUAAUAAAAACACAAAAAAUUAGCUGGGCAUGAUGAUUGGCGCCUAUAGUCCCAGCUACUUGGGAGGCUGAGGCAGGAGACUGGCAUGAACCCGGGAGGUGGAACUUGCAGUGAGCCGAGAUGGCGCGACUGCACUCCAGCCUGGGCGAGAGAGCAAGACUCCAUCUAAAAAAAAAGAAAAAAACAUGAUUUGUAAUUAUGUAAAUUACUAAUUCUACUUCAAAGUGCCACACAGCCUUCAUGUGAUAAAAUGAAGCAAUUGGUAAGUCUAAGCAUUGAGAAAAAACAUUAUUUUUCCCAGCUCCAUUGCAACAGUUGGGACAGUGUUUUCUCUGUGCCUAUAGAAACCUCAGCUAGUGUGCCGAGGAGUCUGGUCCCUUUGGGGAAUGUGGCAGUCAGGUUCUGGCAGGGACCUCGAAGUGGCUGGUAAUGUCUUUCAUUACCACCACCACGUGACCUGGUCUUACGACCUGUUAGCUUCCUUCAUCAGGCAUGAGCACCAGGAUGGCAGGGGCCUCAUCUGUCCUGUUCCUCCUGUGGCCUGGGUCCUAGCACCAUGUCUGGUACAGUGUAGGUGCUCAAGGGAAGUUUACUUUAUAGAACUGUCUACCUGGGAGAUGUUGCUGUUAGUCUAACCUGUACCAUUUUGUAAACCUGCAGCCGUUUUGCACACCCUGGUCAGAAUGAAACAUUCCUUGGGAACUCGGGCCGUGAGAAGCAUCCUUCCUGAUCACCUGACUGUAGAAACAUCCUUAUCGCACCCUCCCGGGCAAAGGCCCAACAGCCUGACUGCAGGAACAUCCUUGCCAUAUCCUGCCGGGCAGCAAGCUCUACCGCCCACACCCCUCCUUCCCAGUCCCAUGAUCACCCCAGCCUGUGAGAGGCAGUUGGUGCUGGCAGUAAGCUGGUUUCCUCCUCUGCAGGGUUUUGCUAGUAAUAAAGGUGUUGCUGUUGAAGCCGUC